UAGGGAAUCUUCGGCAAUGGGGGCAACCCUGACCGAGCAACGCCGCGUGAGUGAAGAAGGUUUUCGGAUCGUAAAGCUCUGUUGUAAGUCAAGAACGGGUGUGAGAGUGGAAAGUUCACACUGUGACGGUAGCCUACCAGAAAGGGACGGCUAACUACGUGCCAGCAGCCGCGGUAAUACGUAGGUCCCGAGCGUUGUCCGGAUUUAUUGGGCGUAAAGCGAGCGCAGGCGGUUUGAUAAGUCUGAAGUUAAAGGCUGUGGCUCAACCAUAGUUCGCUUUGGAAACUGUCAAACUUGAGUGCAGAAGGGGAGAGUGGAAUUCCAUGUGUAGCGGUGAAAUGCGUAGAUAUAUGGAGGAACACCGGUGGCGAAAGCGGCUCUCUGGUCUGUAACUGUCGCUGAGGCUCGAAAGCGUGGGGAGCGAACAGG
rnacentral:rRNA from 1 species